rnacentral:rRNA from 1 species
GGGUUGUGAGGUUAAGCGACUAAGCGUACACGGUGGAUGCCCUGGCAGUCAGAGGCGAUGAAGGACGUGCUAAUCUGCGAAAAGCGCCGGCGAGGUGAUAUGAACCCUUGACCCGGCGAUGUCCGAAUGGGGAAACCCAGUGUGUUCCGACACACUAUCGUUAACUGAAUACAUAGGUUAACGAGGCGAACCGGGGGAACUGAAACAUCUAAGUACCCCGAGGAAAAGAAAUCAACCGAGAUUCCCCCAGUAGCGGCGAGCGAACGGGGAGCAGCCCGGAGUCUGAAUCAGCUUGUGUGUUAGUGGAACGGUCUGGAAAGUCCGACGGUACAGGGUGAUAGUCCCGUACACGAAAAUGCACAGGUUGUGAACUCGAAGAGUAGGGCGGGACACGUGGUAUCCUGUCUGAAUAUGGGGGGACCAUCCUCCAAGGCUAAAUACUCCUGACUGACCGAUAGUGAACCAGUACCGUGAGGGAAAGGCGAAAAGAACCCCGGCGAGGGGAGUGAAAAAGAACCUGAAACCGUGUACGUACAAGCAGUGGGAGCACCUUCGGGUGUGACUGCGUACCUUUUGUAUAAUGGGUCAGCGACUUAUAUUCUGUAGCAAGGUUAACCGUAUAGGGGAGCCGAAGGGAAACCGAGUCUUAACUGGGCGUUAAGUUGCAGGGUAUAGACCCGAAACCCGGUGAUCUAGCCAUGGGCAGGUUGAAGGUUGGGUAACACUAACUGGAGGACCGAACCGACUAAUGUUGAAAAAUUAGCGGAUGACCUGUGGCUGGGGGUGAAAGGCCAAUCAAACCGGGAGAUAGCUGGUUCUCCCCGAAAGCUAUUUAGGUAGCGCCUCGUGAACUCAUCUUCGGGGGUAGAGCACUGUUUCGGCUAGGGGGCCAUCCCGGCUUACCAACCCGAUGCAAACUACGAAUACCGAAGAAUGUUAUCACGGGAGACACACGGCGGGUGCUAACGUCCGUCGUGAAGAGGGAAACAACCCAGACCGCCAGCUAAGGUCCCAAAGUCAUGGUUAAGUGGGAAACGAUGUGGGAAGGCACAGACAGCCAGGAUGUUGGCUUAGAAGCAGCCAUCAUUUAAAGAAAGCGUAAUAGCUCACUGGUCGAGUCGGCCUGCGCGGAAGAUGUAACGGGGCUAAACCAUGCACCGAAGCUGCGGCAGCGACACUAUGUGUUGUUGGGUAGGGGAGCGUUCUGUAAGCCGUUGAAGGUGUGCUGUGAGGCAUGCUGGAGGUAUCAGAAGUGCGAAUGCUGACAUAAGUAACGAUAAAGCGGGUGAAAAGCCCGCUCGCCGGAAGACCAAGGGUUCCUGUCCAACGUUAAUCGGGGCAGGGUGAGUCGACCCCUAAGGCGAGGCCGAAAGGCGUAGUCGAUGGGAAACAGGUUAAUAUUCCUGUACUUGGUGUUACUGCGAAGGGGGGACGGAGAAGGCUAUGUCAGCCGGGCGACGGUUGUCCCGGUUUAAGCAUGUAGGCGGAGGUUCCAGGUAAAUCCGGUACCUUUUAACGCUGAGGUGUGAUGACGAGGCACUACGGUGCUGAAGUGAUAAAUGCCCUGCUUCCAGGAAAAGCCUCUAAGCAUCAGGUAACACGAAAUCGUACCCCAAACCGACACAGGUGGUCAGGUAGAGAAUACCAAGGCGCUUGAGAGAACUCGGGUGAAGGAACUAGGCAAAAUGGUGCCGUAACUUCGGGAGAAGGCACGCUGAUAGGUAGGUGAAGCCCCUGCGGGCGGAGCUGAAAUCAGUCGAAGAUACCAGCUGGCUGCAACUGUUUAUUAAAAACACAGCACUGUGCAAACACGAAAGUGGACGUAUACGGUGUGACGCCUGCCCGGUGCCGGAAGGUUAAUUGAUGGGGUUAGCGGCAACGCGAAGCUCUUGAUCGAAGCCCCGGUAAACGGCGGCCGUAACUAUAACGGUCCUAAGGUAGCGAAAUUCCUUGUCGGGUAAGUUCCGACCUGCACGAAUGGCGUAAUGAUGGCCAGGCUGUCUCCACCCGAGACUCAGUGAAAUUGAACUCGCUGUGAAGAUGCAGUGUACCCGCGGCAAGACGGAAAGACCCCGUGAACCUUUACUAUAGCUUGACACUGAACACUGGUCCUUGAUGUGUAGGAUAGGUGGGAGGCUUUGAAGCGUGGACGCCAGUCUGCGUGGAGCCAUCCUUGAAAUACCACCCUUUAAUGGCUGGUGUUCUAACGUAGACCCGUGAUCCGGGUUGCGGACAGUGUCUGGUGGGUAGUUUGACUGGGGCGGUCUCCUCCCAAAGAGUAACGGAGGAGCACGAAGGUUGGCUAAUCCUGGUCGGACAUCAGGAGGUUAGUGCAAUGGCAUAAGCCAGCUUGACUGCGAGCGUGACGGCGCGAGCAGGUGCGAAAGCAGGUCAUAGUGAUCCGGUGGUUCUGAAUGGAAGGGCCAUCGCUCAACGGAUAAAAGGUACUCCGGGGAUAACAGGCUGAUACCGCCCAAGAGUUCAUAUCGACGGCGGUGUUUGGCACCUCGAUGUCGGCUCAUCACAUCCUGGGGCUGAAGUAGGUCCCAAGGGUAUGGCUGUUCGCCAUUUAAAGUGGUACGCGAGCUGGGUUUAGAACGUCGUGAGACAGUUCGGUCCCUAUCUGCCGUGGGCGCUGGAGAAUUGAGGGGGGCUGCUCCUAGUACGAGAGGACCGGAGUGGACGCAUCACUGGUGUUCGGGUUGUCAUGCCAAUGGCACUGCCCGGUAGCUAAAUGCGGAAGAGAUAAGUGCUGAAAGCAUCUAAGCACGAAACUUGCCCCGAGAUGAGUUCUCCCUGAGACUUUAAGUCUCCUGAAGGAACGUUGAAGACGACGACGUUGAUAGGUCGGGUGUGUAAGCGCAGCGAUGCGUUGAGCUAACCGAUACUAAUGAACCGUGAGGCUUAACCUUACAACGCCGAAGGUGUUU